rnacentral:rRNA from 1 species
UAGUGUUAUUCGUGAUGACUGGGCGUAGGGUACGUAGGCGGAUAGUCAAAAAUAUAGUUAAAGACUGAGGUUGACCCUCUUCAAGCUAUAUUCACUAGCUAUCUUGAGUUUUAAGGGCGAUAGUGAAUCCUUUAAGUAAGGGUUAAAUUGUUGAUAUUAGGAGACGUUCGAAGGCGAAAGCAAUGAUCGACUUAAAUCUGACGCUAGGUACUAAAGCAUGGGUAUGAAAAGGAUUAGAGACCUUGUAGUCCAUGCUGUAAACUAUGAGUGUUCAACGUCCUUUUGUGGUUUAUUAAAAACCGGCCGCAAGGUGUCAGUGAUUUUUUUAAUAGUAGGCAUGAAAGGGGGUUUGAAGCUAACGCGUGAAACACCGCCUGGGGAAUGUGGCCGCAAGGUUAAACUCAAAGGAAUUGACGGAGACUUAUACAAGGGGUGGAGAUGUGGUUUAAUUCGAG